AUUGAACGCUGGCGGCAGGCCUAACACAUGCAAGUCGAACGAGCGGCGGACGGGUGAGUAAUGUCUGGGAAUCUGCCCGAUGGAGGGGGAUAACUACUGGAAACGGUAGCUAAUACCGCAUACCAUCGGAUGUGCCCAGAUGGGAUUAGCUAGUAGGUGGGGUAAAGGCUCACCUAGGCGACGAUCCCUAGCUGGUCUGAGAGGAUGACCAGCCAAACUGGGACUGAGACACGGUCCAGACUCCGACGGGAGGCAGCAGUGGGGAAUAUUGCACAAUGGGCGCAAGCCUGAUACAGCCAUGCCGCGUGUAUGAAGAAGGCCUUCGGGUUGUAAAGUACUUUCAGCGGGGAGGCGUUACCCGCAGAAGAAGCACCGGCUAACUCCGUGCCAGCAGCCGCGGUAAUAC
rnacentral:rRNA from 1 species